rnacentral:rRNA from 1 species
AUGGCUAUGAUGAGCACCAUGAAUGGCGGGAAGUCGUACUCCCAUAUCGACGCCAGAAGAACAAACCCAACCUGCAACCAUACGAGUCAGAUACGAAGGAAGAUCACUGGAACUGCUACUACCGGAUUAAUAAUCAUGCUAAUUGAUUUGCUGCUGCGUUCUUACCACUAUUCGUAUGGUGAUGCACACGGCAUAGAUCUGCAUCGGCAAGGUAGAAAUCAUCACAAGCAAAUCCCAGUAACCGAACUGAACAUUUGUGGUGCUGGCAAUGGCGUGGCAUGGAGGGCCCAGACGCACCGUGUAGUUCCUCAUGCGCUGGAAGAUGGCGCGGCUGGUGAGGACGGCGCAGACGAUGACGCCGAGGCCGGGCUCCGUCAGCACGAUGUCGGCGGCGGCCCGGGCGGCGUCCGUCGCGUCCGACACCGCGAUGCCGAUAUCCGCCUUCUUCAGCGCCGGCGCGUCGUUCACGCCGUCGCCCGUCAUCCCGCACACGUGGCCGCUCGCCUGCAGGAGCCGCACGAUCUCGUGCUUGUGCUCCGGGAACACGCCCGCGAACCCGUCCGCGCUCUCCACCAGCUCCUCCACCGCCGCCGCCGCCCCCUCGUCGCCGCCGCGGCGGCCGAACAGCGCCGCCGACGGGUGCAUGUUGGUCCCCGUCCCGAGCCGCCGGCCGGUCUCCUUGGCGAUCGCCAGGUGGUCGCCGGUGAUCAUCUUCACGCACACGCCCAGGUCCAGGGCCCUGCGGAUGGUGUCGGCGCUGUCGUGCCGCGGCGGGUCGAACAGCGGCAGCACGCCGCAGAAGACCCACGGCCCGCCAUCGCCGUGCCUCGAUCUCUCCGGGACCUCCUGAUCUCAGGCAUCAAGGCGAUCCGGCGUAGUACUUCAGAAUUCAGAAUGCAACAGUGUACAUUCGCCAGCAGAAACUGA